AUUGAACGCUGGCGGCAUGCCUUACACAUGCAAGUCGAACGGCAGCACGGGUGCUUGCACCUGGUGGCGAGUGGCGAGCGGGUGAGUAAUACAUCGGAACGUACCUUAUCGUGGGGGAUCACGCAGCGAAAGCUGUGCCAAUACCUCAUACGCCCUGAGGGGGAAAGCGGGGGAUCGCAAGACCUCGCGCGAUUAGAGCGGCCGAUGCCUGAUUAGCUUGUUGGUGGUGUAAAAGCCCACCAAGGCGACGAUCAGUAGCUGGUCUGAGGGGACGAUGAGCCACACUGGGAAGGAGAAACGGCCCAGACUCCUACGGGAGGCAGCAGUGGGGAAUCUUGGAAAAGAGGGGCAACCCUGAUCGAACAGUGGCGCGCGCGAGAAGGAGGACUUCGGGUUAUAAAGCUCUUUUGUCAGGGAAGAAGCACCGGAUCUAACACAGUCCGGGAAUGACGGUACCUGAAGAAUAAGCACCGGCUAACUACGUGCCAGCCGCCGCCGUAA
rnacentral:rRNA from 1 species